UGUGAAAGAAGAGUAAAGUCAGAAAAAAAAGAGUCAUUUUUUUUUUCUUUUUUCAUUUCUCCACAUCCUCAGCUAGAUCUACAAGAUGCCUCAAACACACAGUUGAAGUUUGAAAACACUAUUUUAUUGGGGAAUUACAGCUGUGACUAUUUCUGCCAGUUACUAAGGCUAAAGAGAUGUCUCUUUCUCUCAACCCUGAAAACAAUUUAUUGCCUGGAUAUAAGCCAACCACAGCAUUCUCACCAUCUAGCCUCUCAAAUGCAUGCUCACACUCUCCAAAAAAAAAUAUAUAUAUAUAUAAAAAAAUCAUUUAGGGACCAACCUGAAACUGUUUCUUUUUCUCUCAUUCAAGUGAACCUGCAUUGAUUGGAUAAGGACGAUCAAUAAGGGAAAAGACACACAAAUUGAAUCUGAGCAGAGCAUAACGAAGAUUCUGGCAUAUACACUCUAAAUUUAGGGUAGAGAUUCUGCGGCGGAACAUUAGUGUCCGGAGCUAUUCAUUUGUAUAAGUGAAGUGAUUUUUACUCAAGGACCGGAGAGCCUGUUGAAGACAAAAGAGUCUGUGGCUCAUAUAUUCAAGGGAUGCUUGUCUGAAUGAGUAUAAUUCAAUCUCCCUCUGACAGAUUUCUGAUGUCAGGUUAUUAGGAGGCAUCUUUCCUAUAAUGACUUACCCCAUUUCCUCAGUCUUGACCUUCACAGUGCUGGGGAACUCAGGCAAAGCUGUCUAGCCUCAAGGUGAACAGCAAAGAAAAACAGCUGGGGGAGAGGGCCACGCUCUCCCAUCCAUGCAAUUAUCAUCAUCUUUAAAGAUAACAAGGGAAAAGGGGGAGGGUUAGCGCUAAUGAUAAUUGUGAUGGGACGGCAAGUAAAGCUUCAUUCCCUCAGAGGACGACGUGGUAUGCCUGAGAGACUUUCAAAGCAUGACCAGGUGCAGGGGUCGCUAAUACACUCCUAAUUCUCACCCUGGGUUCUCCUGGUAGCCUGUGGAGACUAAGUGGAGAAGAGGCUAGAAAGGUCACAGCCUGACCCAAUAACAACUAGCUCUCUAACAGUUUCAUUAUGAGUGAGAGACACACUGAGACAGAGAAACUAACAGCUGGACUUGAAUAAGAGCUCAGGGGGGUUGCCAAGUCCUGUUCCUCCUCCUCAUGUCAGAAAACUUUUGUUUACUGUGGUUCUGAGAAACGCAAAGUGCAGCAAUCUG
rnacentral:lncRNA from 1 species